rnacentral:pre_miRNA from 1 species
GAUUUCAACUAAAAAAGUCAUCAAUAACAAAGUUGUUUAACUCAGUAAGAUCUAUAACUUUUAUUUUGGUCAUUUCUUCAUCAGACAAAGUGAUUUGCAAUAUUGUUCACAAAAUAUACAUCUCUUAUAUAGUUGUAUAAAAACUAUAUAAGGGAAGGGAUGUAUAUUUUAUAAACAAACUUUCAAAUCACUUUAUCGGAUGAAGAAAUGACCAAAAUAGAAGUUAUAGAUCUUCAUGAGUUAUACAACUUUGUUACUGAUGACUUUUUUAGAUGAAAUU